rnacentral:rRNA from 1 species
AGAGUUUGAUCCUGGCUCAGGAUGAACGCUGGCGGUAUGCUUUACACAUGCAAGUCAUACGGGAGUUGGUUUCGGCCAACUCCAGUGGCGGACGGGGGAGUAACACGUGAGAAUUCGCCUUUAGGAGGGGGAUAACGGAUGGAAACAUUCGCUAAAACCCCAUAUGCCCCUGGGUGAAACAGAGGAGAUAAGUAAUACUGACUCACCUCUGCCUGAAGAGAAGCUCGCGGCUGAUUAGCUAGUUGGUAGGGUAAAGGCCUACCAAGGCGACGAUCAGUAGCUGGUCUGAGAGGACGAUCAGCCACACUGGAACUGAGACACGGUCCAGACUCCUACGGGAGGCAGCAGUGAGGAAUUUUCUGCAAUGGGCGCAAGCCUGACAGAGCAAUACCGCGUGAGGGAUGAAGACUUACUGAGUUGUAAACCUCGGUGCCUUAAGGAAGAAGAUCUGACGGUACUUAAGGUGGAAAGCAUCGGCUAACUCCGUGCCAGCAGCCGCGGUAAGUCGGGGGAUGCAAGUGUUAUCCGGAUUUACUGGGCGUAAAGCGUCUGCAGGUGGUUUCUUAAGUCUACUGUUAAAUCUUGAGGCUCAACCUCAAAUCUGCAGUAGAAACUAGGAGACUUGAGUAUAGUAGGGGUAGAGGGAAUUUCCAGUGGAGCGGUGAAAUGCGUAGAUAUUGGAAAGAACACCGAUGGCGAAGGCACUCUACUGGGCUAUUACUGACACUCAGAGACGAAAGCUAGGGGAGCAAAUGGGAUUAGAUACCCCAGUAGUCCUAGCCGUAAACGAUGGAUACUCGAUGUUGGACGUAUCGACCCGUUCAGUAUCUUAGCUAACGCGUUAAGUGUUCCGCCUGGGGAGUACGCACGCAAGUGUGAAACUCAAAGGAAUUGACGGGGGCCCGCACAAGCGGUGGAGUAUGUGGUUUAAUUCGAUGCAACGCGAAGAACCUUACCAGGGUUUGACAUCCUGCGAAUCCCUUGGAAACGAGGGAGUGCCUUCGGGAGCGCAGUGACAGGUGGUGCAUGGCUGUCGUCAGCUCGUGUCGUGAGAUGUUGGGUUAAGUCCCGCAACGAGCGCAACCCACGUCUUUAGUUGCCAGCAUUGAGUUGACUGCCGGUGACAAACCGGAGGAAGGUGAGGACGACGUCAAGUCAUCAUGCCCCUUACACCCUGGGCUACACACGUCCUACAAUGGGUAAGACAAUAAGUUGCAAAUCCGCGAGGAUAAGCUAAUCUUUCAAACUUACUCCAAGUACAGAUUGCAGGCUGCAACUCGCCUGCAUGAAGGUGGAAUCGCUAGUAAUCGCUGGUCAGCUACACAGCGGUGAAUCCGUUCCCGGGCCUUGUACUCAACGCCCCUCA